rnacentral:rRNA from 1 species
GACGUAGGAUGCAAGCGUUGUCCGGAUUUAUUGGGCGUAAAGAGUUCGUAGGCGGUCCGUUAAGUCUGAUGUUAAAGAUCGGGGCUCAACCCUGGGAGUGCAUUGGAUACUGGCGGACUGGAGUGCGGUAGAGGCUAGUGGAAUUCCCAGUGUAGCGGUGAAAUGCGUAGAUAUUGGGAAGAACACCAGUGGCGUAGGCGACUAGCUGGGCCGUAACUGACGCUGAGGAACGAAAGCGUGGGUAGCAAACAGG